AUCCAGCUGGCGGACGAGUCCCAAAUAGGAUGAAACGCGCAUCCUGGAU
rfam:Trichobilharzia regenti genome assembly, scaffold: TRE_scaffold0020637